GGGACCCUGCUCAGUCACUCCAGGUGCCAUCGACAAACGCCAUGUGUUAACUUGGGUUAUGGGUCAAAGGGUAGUCUCCCAAGGCUCCGUCUCUUCUGCUCCAUUUGCAGGAAUUUGCAAGGUCACAAACCAGCUGGGCACCUUCUUGGCUAUGGAACAGCUGCUACAGCAAGCAGGGACCGAGCGCACAGUGGAUGUCUUCAGUGUGGCCCUGAAGCAGACACAGGCCUGUGGCCUUAAGACCCCAACGCUGGAGCAGUAUAUCUACCUCUACAACUGUCUGAACAGCGCAUUGAGGAACAGGCUGCCCCGAGCUAGGAAGUGACCUGUGCCCUGCUAGGCAUCACGUUCCAGAAAAUCCACCCAGGCCUGGCUUCCCCAGGAGAACAGAUCUAUCGGCCUCACGCUGUCAAAGGGCAGAGUCUGGGAAUAAAGAGACAUGGUCAAAC
ensembl:processed_transcript